GAUGAACGCUGGCGGAGUGCCUAAUACAUGCAAGUCGAGCGGCAGCACGAGUAGUUUACUACUUGGUGGCGAGCGGCGGACGGCUGAGUAACGCGUGGGAACGUGCCCCAAAGUGAGGAAUAAGCUCCAGAAAUGGAGUCUAAUGCCGCAUAUGAUCUUCGGAUUAAAGUAUUUAUACGCUUUGGGAGCGGCCCGCGUCCGAUUAGAUAGUUGGUGAGGUAAAGGCUCACCAAGUCUACGAUCGGUAACUGGUCUGAGAGGAUGAUCAGUCAGACUGGAACUGAGACACGGUCCAGACUCCUACGGGAGGCAGCAGUAAGGAAUCUUCCACAAUGGACGAAAGUCUGAUGGAGCAACUCCGCGCGCAGGACGAAGGCCUUCGGGUUGUAAACUGCUUUUAUGAGUGAAGAAUAUGACGGUAACUCAUGAAUAAGGGUCGGCUAACUACGUGC
rnacentral:rRNA from 1 species